CUAUGUGUUGAAUAAAUUCAAUCUUUCUCGAUAAAGUCGAUUGAUUAGGGUAAAAUUGUAUUCCUUAGGAACCGUACAUGCACCUUUUGACGUAUACGGUUCAAGUUGGUAACCUGAUGACAGGGGAGCUGGUGAUCGAAGCCCCAGUGAACGGUGGCCAUAACUAUAACAAUCCUAAAGUAGCGAAAUUUCUUGUCGGGUAAGUUCUACCCACAUGAAAGGCGUAACGAUCUGGACACUGUCUCGAAGAGAGGCUCGAUGAAAUAGAUAUGUCUGUGAAGAUGCGGACUAGCUACACUUGGAUAGAAAGAUCCUAUGAAGCUUCACUGUUCCCUGAGAUUGGGUUUGGGCCUUUCCUGCGCAGCUUAGAUGGAAGGCGACUUUAAUCAUUUAUGAUGAUCUCUCCAAACAAGCCCAAGCUUAUCGGCAAAUGUCUCUUCUAUUACGAAGACAGCCUGGUCGUGAAGCUUGGAAAGAGCCGCUUAAUCAAGUUCUAGUUUAGGUGAAGGAAGUAUGAGCGCUUUACCAAUAGUUGAAACUCAAUUAGGA
rnacentral:lncRNA from 1 species